rnacentral:lncRNA from 1 species
AAAACUUCCUCCAAAUCCAUUUGCACGAGAGUUGCUAGCAUCUUCUCUUACCAUAGAGUAAAUCUCGUGUUUUGAGAUUGGGCGAUAGCUCCUGCGUUCAAGCACCAGACGAGCAAUAAGUUUCGGAAGAAAAUAUGUAGGUGCCGCUCGAGAGACCAGGUAACGAAAAUGCAGCAACAUUUCUUCCAGAUCCAUAAUUUUAAUCUUUUCAAGGUCACUUCAACUAAAACUUUAAUACCGACUAGAAUUUGGGUCAAACUACAGUACUAGUUCCUACUCACUCGGAGAGUACUCUGCUCUAGUCCAACAAUCUGCCUUAAAAAGUACAUAACUUUUUAUCCACAAUUCCAAUUUGAGAUUUGCCUUUUUACGUUGAACUUCAAACUAAUCGUCUUUUUAAUGUGGAAGAUCUCUUUACAAAACUUUAUGCUCUAACUUGUUUACGUACUCUCCACAUAAGUUCCUCAUUUCGCUUCCACAUCUUGUACGUAAUCCGUC